GUUGGGUUCUCCUCACUGGGGAAGGCUGGCCUGAGACACCUGUCACUGCAGAGGUCUCUAUGGGUGACCCUGACUCAGCUCUGGACUCAGAAUGAAUUAUGUCUUUUAAGAUUACCAAGAUGUUCCUAUAAUUUGUGUAUUAAUGCAUUUUUCCUUUUUCAGGGAGCAAAAUGGCCCGUCUCACUUUUCUUAACGGUUUAUAAAUUAAUAAAUGGGAUAUUUAGUUCUGUUCAUAGGCUCACAGCAAGUAUGAACACUGGAAUGGAUGAGACAAUCAGGGUAGACCAGAUUCUCGGAUCAAAAGACAAACAGCUGGGGCUGCCGCUCUGGCUACAGUGCUUACCUGCAUGCAUGAAGUCCUGGCCACCCUCAGCACUGCAUACACGAAUGUUACUCCAUUACUCAGGAGGCUGAGGCAGUUAGGAUCAGGAGUUCAGUGUAACAUAGUGAAUUGGAAGCCAGCCUGGGCUAUAUGAGAGCAACAACAAAACAGACUUGAUCCACAGUUUACAUCUGUCCAUUCAAAGUCACAUUAGCCCUACUCCUGUGUCUUACAUCCCACUACAUUCACCUCUCCCUCUCCAGGACUGACCCGAUCCACCUCUGUUGGGGUUUAUUUGAGAAUUUAUGUUGCUGUUCCCACGUACCCUUUGAAAUUGCUUAGCCAAAACGCUGAUCCUGACCUACCCAGCUCCUUCAUUUUACAGAAGAAGAAAAUGAGGCUUAGUGGAUGUCUUCUCACUAUUAGUGCACUUGGAGCUUUUAUUUAUUUCUUUGAGAUAGUAUCUGCCUAUUUAGACCAGGCUGACCACAGAAUAGAAGGCACUCCUCCAGCCUUAGCCUCCGUGCCUGGAGGAGCUGCCAUACCCAGCACCUUAAUUUAUGUCAUUUAUUCUAGGGAAACCCAAAACUUUCUUGACAGAGUAGAGGAGCCAGAUGAACUAAGGCAGCAAAAUACAUGGAACUUGAUUUCUCUGUAUGUUGGGAGGACUCCAAGCAGUGAGCUCUUCAUGGCUAGACCCCAGCCCCAAAACCUUGGGUCUGAAACAGGAAACCUGUCAUGCUCUUGCUUUCCAUUGUCAUCUUGAGGCUCCUGUGUCAUAGACUGUACUAUGGGAGUAGCUGUGCUCCUGGUUGGCAUUUACCAAAAAUAAAUGGUGGUCUCCAGGGGUUGGAGUUUGGUUCUGGUUUGUCAGGGAGGGUCUUGCUCUGUGCUCCCAUCAGGACAACCCACAAAAAUCCAGGGCUGGGAAGAUGGCUUGGUCAGCCUUUGACUGGCAGAUAUGGAAAUCAAGAGUUGGGAUCUCUACAACCCCCAAAAGCUGGGCAGAUCCAGCUCCACCUGCCAUCCUAGUGGGAGAGUCAGGUAAAGGUUCCAGGAUCAUGGGCAAGAGCUUACUAUUGGCCAGGUUCAUCCUGAAACCAUGCCUUAUGUAUAAGGUGGAGGGCCAGCAAGAUAGCUAAGUAGGUAAAGGCAAUUACUGCUGAGCCUCAAAAUGUGAGUUCAAUUUCUAGAACCCACAUGGUAGGAGAGAACCAACUCCUGUAAGUUGUCCUCUGACCUCCACAUUUGUGUUGUGGCAUGCACACACCCACACAAAAAAUUUUAAGUGUGCUAGGCACAGCCUUGCACACCUUUGGUCCCAGCACUCAGAAGGCAGAAGCAAGUGGAUCUCAGAGUUUGAGGAUAUAUAUAUAGAGAGAGAGAGUGAGAGAAGCACCUACACACAAACAAGCACAAGUGUCUACACACACAAAUCACAUGUGUAUGCAAGGCAAAAAGAUUGUUUUUGUCUUUUUUUUUCAUGCCUGGGUGUCUAACGAACUUUGAGUGUAUUUGCAUGCGAGUGUGUGCUUUCAUGUGUGUAUACAUGUGCAUAAGUGUAUGUUUGUGUAUAAAUUUACUGUUGCUGUGGCUCCUAUAGCACCUCUAUGGCUUCAGCUACCUUAUGCUGCACCAGGAUUCUGUUCCUGCAAGAGUCCAGGUCCAGCUACACUCCUAAAGGCCAGUCAGAGCACCCAUUUCUAUAGCUAACCUCUGCAGCCCAGACUGACCUCUAUUGAUCCUCCGCCUCAGGCUGAGGUGCAAAUUUCCUCCUGUAUACUUGGAGGCUGGGCCAGUGAGCCCCAUGGCUCCUCCUCCUCCUCCCUCCCCAGCUCUGGCAUGAAUAUGCUUCACUACCCCUGGCUUUUUAUGUCUUCAUGCCUUUGUAGCAAGCACUUGACCUCUAUAAGUAGCUGGGCAACAACAGGCACCUGUACAUGGAUGUGGAGGCAAGAGGCUAGCCUCAUGUCCUUGUGUGCCAAUAGGUCUGCCAUCUUACUUUUUGAAGCAGGGUCACUCACUGAACCUGGAGCCCCAGUCAUCCUCCACUCUCAUCUCCCACAGCACAGAUAUGACAGUCCUAUCCAGUUCUGGCUUGGGGGGGGGGGGGUAGAAUCCAACUCUUAGCCACUCAGCCCAGCCUAACAACCCUUUUCAUUUUUUUUAAGGUUUAUUUAUGUAUGCCAGUACAUUGUAGCUGUACAGAUGGUUGUGAGCCUUCAUGUGGUUGUUGGGAAUUGAACUUUAGGACCUCUGCUCGUUCUGGUCAACCCUGCUUGCUCAAUCUCUGCUUGCUCUGGUCCAAAGAUUUAUUUUAUUAUACAUAAGUACACCAUACCUGACUUCAGAUGUAGCAGAAGAGGGCAUCAGAUCUCAUUACACUCGGUUGUGAGCCAAUGUGGUUGCUGGGAUUUGAACCCGGGACCUUUGGGAGAGCAGUGAGUGCUCUUACCCACUGAGCCAUCUUGCCAGCCCCAGCCCUUUUCUUUCUUUCUUUCUUUCUUUCUUUUUUUUCUUUCUUUUGUUCUUUUCACUCACUUUGUAGACCAGGCUGGCCUCAAACUCAGAAAUCCGCCUGCCUCUGCCUCCGGAGUGCUAGGAUUAAAGGCGUGCCACCACGCCUGGCUGCCCUUUUCAUUUUUAACCAUUUAUUUAUUGUAUGGGACGCGGGGAAGGUUACACAUCCUAUGGUGCAUGUAGAGGUCAGAAGGCUACUUAUAAAAGCGAGUUCUCCCACUAAGUCCCAGGUCACCACGCUUAGUAGCAAGUACCUUUACCCACUAGGCAAUCUUGCUGUGUUAAGACAGGCCUCAAGGAGCUCAGGCUAGCUUUGAAUUCACUGUGUAUCUUCUGUCUCUGAUACUGGUGUUGGCCACUGAACUGGAGCCAUGCCCUUCAGUUCUAGGAGUUAUGUGGCUGGCUGUCAAAACAGCAGGAGACCCUGGACCUCACACAUGGUAGGGAAGCACUUCCAGCCCUGUAUUUCUGGCUGCUUAGGUUUCCUCUGUAUUUUGGAGGAUUCUGUGAGCAGUCAGGGAAGCUACCACAGUGAAGGGACCAAAUGCAAAGCUUUGGUCUCAGCCUCAGUGUAUGAUUCAUUCAGACUCCCAAAGGGGCUCAGUAGGUAGGCAAGAGCCAGCUGAGGAACACUGCCAAGGGGCUUGAGGGGCACCUUACCUAGGCAGGAUCUAGUUGCCCAGCCUUAUUAGGGAGGUGGCAAGAGAUGGGGCCAGGUGUGGGAGGGGGUGUACCUUUAACCCCAGUGCUGGGGAGGCAGAGGCAAGCAGGAGCACCUCCCUCAACAAAUAAAACAGAAGAAACUUCUAAGAAUAGUCACCCUCUGAAUGUUCUACUGGCCCUCUCAUUUUGUUUUGGUCUUUUUGAGACAUGGUUUCUCUGUGUAAUAGCCCUGGCUGUUCUAGCUUUGUAGACCAGGCUGGCCUUGCCUGCCCUGCCUUAGUGCAAGAAUUAAAAGUGCGUGCCACCA
rnacentral:lncRNA from 1 species